UCCAAAGCAAAGAUCUUGUUGGAGUCAUGUGGUUUUUCAGUUGCGUGUACUUUGUUCUAUGGCUCUCAUUAUUAGGUUCUACUGAAGCAAUCACUUUGACUCAGCCUGCAGCAGUUACAGCUGUGCCUGGAGGCUCAGUGACGCUGGAAUGUGUGGUAUCUGGAUACAAUAUCAAUGAUCACCACAUGAGCUGGGUCCGUGAAGGCAAGGAGAAAGGACUAGUUUUCAUUGCAGCCUUCAGGUCAGGAUACGACACAUACACGGCCAACCAAUUUAAGGGCCGAGUGUCCCCUUCUACCAGCGGCUCCACGGCAAAGCUAAAGAUAGAUGCUCUGACAGUUGAAGACACUUCCAUCUACUAUUGUGCUAGAUAA